UCCCCAUUUACCAUCCCAAGCAAGUAAGCCCACCUGAGCCACAGAACCUUCUCCCUCCCUACAAAAGGCUCAGGAGUAGGAGGCACCAGACAGCUUUUAUCUUCUCUAACACUAAUUCAGUUUUGAAUAAAUUGAAGAGCAAGGAAGAGUCAAAGGAAAAAAUGCUGGGUCAGUGAUUACCCUUGAAAAUACUUUGGAAUUACAAAAACAAACAUUUAAUGAACUAAUCCAGUUAGUCACCAACAGAAUACUUAACUAUGCCUCUUGAUUCCUUUAUUGGAAGAACUAUGACCCAUCCGAAUCAUUCUUCAAAGUCAGUCUGUGAGGAAUAAAACAAUCAUUGCUAAUAAAAUGUUUAGGACUAUUAGAGGUUAUAUAAAAUAUCAGUGUUAGGUCUGUAGUUUGUCCAGCUUUUCUGGGAAAUGUCUCAGUUUAGAGAGAUAAAACCUGGUUCACGUAACUGUGAACUAGAUCCCAGACAUGGCUGAAACUGGGCCAGGGUCCUUCCCUAAGAAUUUGGAGGUGGGACUAUGCUAUCCAGCUUGGUCUGGCUGCUCUCUUCAACUAUGGAAAUGGAUAACUCCCACCACAUGAAAUGGAGAAUGACAAAACUAGUCUGCAGCAAGAAAUCAGGAUGAAAUAACUGAGAAAAGUUGACAAAGAUGAAUUAAAGACAAGAAUUCCCCGUCGGC
rnacentral:antisense_RNA from 1 species